ACACAACCUCUUGAGGAGAAACCUCGGCUGCAUUCAGAUGUUGAGCCAGAUUGUCUCAUUCAACAUUGACAGUGUUCAGGGGGAGAUGGAGUUCAUUUUCUCAAAGGAAUGCUGGCAAUUGAUAUAAAAGAUUAUCCAAGAUUCACAUCCCUUUCUGUACUCAGCAAAGGCCUAAAAAUAUUUCAAUUGGCAGCAUUGUCUCCAGACUGACUUAUCUCAGAUACGAACCCGAGCUCUGGGCUACCAAGGAGUA
rnacentral:rRNA from 1 species